UAGGGAAUAUUGCAAAAUGGGCGAAAGCCCGAUGCAGCAACGCCGCGUGGGCGAUGAAGGCCUUCGGGUCGUAAAGCCCUUUUUGAGGGGAUGAGGAAGGACAGUACCCUCAGAAUAAGCCUCGGCUAACUACGUGCCAGCAGCCGCGGUAAAACGUAGGAGGCGAGCGUUAUCCGGAUUUACUGGGCGUAAAGCGCGUGCAGGCGGAUUGGAGAGUUGGAUGUGAAAGCUCCCGGCUUAACUGGGAGAGGUCGUUCAAUACUUCCAGUCUUGAGUGCAGUAGAGGGAAGUGGAAUUCCGGGUGUAGUGGUGAAAUACGCAGAUAUCUGGAAGAACACCAGUUGCGAAGGCGGUCUCUUGGUCCGAUACUGACGCUGAGGCGCGAAAGCGUGGGGAGCAAACA
rnacentral:rRNA from 1 species